GAUGAAGAACGCAGCGAAAUGCGAUAAGUAAUGUGAAUUGCAGAAUUCAGUGAAUCAUCGAAUCUUUGAACGCACAUUGCGCCCUCUGGUAUUCCGGGGGGCAUGCCUGUUCGAGCGUCAUUAUAACCACUCAAGCUCUCGCUUGGUAUUGGGGUUCGCGGUUCCGCGGCCCCUAAAAUCAGUGGCGGUGCCUGUCGGCUCUACGCGUAGUAAUACUCCUCGCGAUUGAGUCCGGUAGGUCUACUUGCCAGCAACCCCCAAUUUUUACAGGUUGACCUCGGAUCAGGUAGGGAUACCCGCUUAACUUAAGCAUAUCAAUAAGCGGAGGA
rnacentral:misc_RNA from 1 species